UACGUAGGGCGCAAGCGUUGUCCGGAUUCACUGGGUGUAAAGGGUGCGCAGGCGGGAAAGUAAGUUAGAGGUGAAAUCUCACAGCUCAACUGUGAAACUGCCUUUGAUACUGCUUUUCUUGAGUUAGGGAGAGGUUGAUGGAAUUCCAGGUGUAGCGGUGAAAUGCGUAGGUAUCAGGAGGAAUACCGAUGGCGAAGGCAGGUCUCUGGGCCAAUACUGACGCUCAUGCACGAAAGCGUGGGGAGCAAACAGG
rnacentral:rRNA from 1 species